UUUUUGAAGCGGUUGUGGGGAGAACUUGGCAGGCGUGGCCUGGGUGGUAUAAUAAAACCCUCUGUCUUUCCCUCUCACCUCUCCAGCUCAGGAUGGGUGGGCAGGAGGGGUUACUGACCUUCAUCUGGACCAGUGAAGGUCAAGCCUAAGGUUUGAGUUUGAUUUUUCAUCUCAGAGUUCAGCCAUUUAAGGGAUCCAAAGGCGCAGGACUUUCCUCAUGACUGGGCUAGUGAUGAUCAGAGAGUCAUUUUCCUGCCGAGAGGGCAUUCUUUGCAAUGUCCCCCAAAGCUUGCCCAGCGCCUAGCAUGGGGCUUUGCCCUGGUAGAUAGUUAAUGAGAAUCUGGCAAAAGGAGUUGAAUGGAAGCCAUUCUGGAGGAAGGCAGGGUUCUGCAUUUUUAACUUCUGCUGUAACAGUCAAACCAAUCAAAUAACUGGAUGGGCUAUUUUAUUUAUCUGUGCAUGCUGUAUUGGUAUGUAGGCACUGUCAACGUGAAAGCAAGCGCUCUCGUGGUGGAAUGAGCAAAGUAUGCUCAUUCUAGCCCUGCAGAGCCUCAAAGCUCGGUAUUAUAGCGUGAAUGUGGCUUUGAAACUCCUCUUGGAAUUUGAUGGCAUUAUGGUGGUGUUGGAACGUGGGGCGCUUAAGAGGUGAUUAGGUCAUUAAGCAGGAUUAGUGCCUCAACCUGGUUAAUUCUCUCAGAACAGGAUUAGAUAGCUCCCCUUGCACUUUGUCUCUUUCACCUAUACCUGCUUUCUUUCCCACCAUGAGUCAAAGCAACACGAGGCCCUCAC
rnacentral:lncRNA from 1 species